CAAUUCUCACCCCCCGCCCUCUGAGAGAAGGCAACCCAGGCUCCGCACUGCACCUAAUAACCGAGGCCCGUGUAGCUACUUCCUCGUUUUGCCUCGCGGUCUCCAUAAACCAGCUCCACCUUACACCCGAACCACGACACCCGCACCACCCCAUCCGUCAGCCGAGGUAACCAGCAAGCGAGUUGCGCUCGUCAGCGACACAAUGAGCAUUGCCCGCCCCUAAACCUUGCGUGGGCGGCGCUGCAAGCCGCAAGCAGCACGUGCGCCAGUCGGCCGAAACGUUCAACGCCGAUGGACGCCCGCUAAUGUUAUCAGUCAAAGCUAUCAAUAUUCUAGAAGUCGACCUGUCGCAAAAGUUAGAGGGCUUGACUACUCCGCACAGUACUCAGCUUCCACGACCCUGUCAGUCGCUUGAAGACAAUGCAAAGACGCGGCACGGGACAAGACAACAGGCAUCACGCUUUCCGGUAACCGAAGGAAGGUGACAGCGGGGAGGGGCAAGUGAACGAGCUGGGAGACAUUGAGUCACGUGAGCAGUACGGCGAUUUCCACGACAUCCUCAAUCGCUUGCAGACAGCGGGAAUCCUCUGAGUGACCUUAUGAUCAGAUGACUACGUGAUCUCUGUGGCAAAAGAGAUAACAGACGAGUUGCAAAACGUCAGAUAACUACCCGGGGUGCUCAGCAGUGUAGUGGUUGAAACAACCACUUGUCAACAUUGCAGUGAAAGACCCUGGGUUCAGAUCUCAUCUCAAGGCACCCGCUGUGUAUGGGACAUGCUCGCAGGACUGGCCGUUGGGGGAUUUCUCCAGAUACUCCAAUUCCCAUCCCCCCUCCUCUACAGAGUGUGAAAUCGACUCAAGGUGGAAGCACAUUCCCACUAAAUCAACCAGCCAGCCAGCCAGCGACCCAGCUAUUCAACCAGCCAUCAUACAGACAACAAUCUUGUACUUUCACCAGCACGUCUUGUGAUAGAACAAAUCGUUAUUUGUUAGUAGAACCACUGCGAUGUCUGGUAUUGUCCUUAAAGCUUUACUGCACAUAAUCAUCAUUUCCAGCGUUGACAUGUUUAUUCUGAAACCUUUAUAUUUACCAAAUUCGCUUUUGUCAGACUCAUGUAACAAAGAAUUUCAAGGCCGUGCUUGUGGAGACCUACUAGCCAACGAAGCAGAAUGGCAGCACUGCGAUGAUGUGUGCUGUAAGACAAUCAACAAAACCUUGCAGCUCACCUGCCACGAGAGACAAACGUUUGUCAAGAGCUUCUACUAUGACUGUGUGUCUACACAACUGACAACACUACCAGCUGCAACAGUCACGACACAAAAGCCCGACACAUCUUCCCCAUACAUGCACGUUCUUUUGAAUGGCGCAAUAGUCUUUGGAAUAUUAAUAAGCAUGGGCAACUUUUUGUUGUUAUGUUGUUAUGUUAUGCAGCCCAUCUAAGACGAUAGAGGCCUAGAUGUUAACGAUAUAUCAGCGAUAAAAGCGCUGAUUUUUUUGUACAUAAUUUGUCACAAUAUUUCCACUUGCAUGUGUGCG